GCGGAAAUUCCAGCUCCAAUAGCGUAUAUUAAAGUUGCUGCAGUAAAAAAGCUCGUAGUUGGAUUUGUGGGAUGGCCGUCCGGCGGGGGGCCUUUCAUGGUCCCGUUUGUCCUGGUUUUCGGCCUUUCCUUUCUCGGGUCUAGCGUUUUGGCUGGCAUUAGGUUGUCGGCCGCUUCGCGCCCGUCGUUUACUGUGAAAAAAUUAGAGUGUUCAAAGCAGGCUUAGGCCGUUGGAUACAUUAGAAUGGUAUAAUGAGAUUGGGCCUCCGCGGUCUAUUUUGUUGGUUUGCUCGUUGUGGUAAUGAUUACCAGGAUCGGUUGGGGGUAUUCGUAUUCAAUUGUCAGAGGUGAAAUUCUCGGAUU
rnacentral:rRNA from 1 species